rnacentral:rRNA from 1 species
GCCGAUGUCUGAUUAGCUAGUUGGUAAGGUAAUGGCUUACCAAGGCAACGAUCAGUAGUUGGUCUGAGAGGACGACCAGCCACACUGGGACUGAGACACGGCCCAGACUCCUACGGGAGGCAGCAGUGGGGAAUUUUGGACAAUGGGCGCAAGCGGAAUCCAGCAAUGCCGCGUGAGUGAAGAAGGCCUUCGGGUUGUAAAGCUCUUUCAGUUGAGAAGAAAAGAUUGUGACUAAUAAUUGCAAUUCAUGACGGUAUCAACAGAAGAAGCACCGGCUAACUACGUGCCAGCAGCCGCGGUAAUACGUAGGGUGCGAGCGUUAAUCGGAAUUACUGGGCGUAAAGGGUGCGCAGGCGGUUCUGUAAGUCAGAUGUGAAAUCCCCGGGCUUAACCUGGGAACUGCGUUUGAAACUACAAAGNG